UAGUCAGCUCUGGCUGAAGCAGCGGAGAGAGGUGUUUGGCUGAAGAGGAGAGAAAUCACCUCUGGCUCCACCACCACCACCACAGCUAUGGCUACUGCUGCUGCUGUCACUUUAAGACUGUUACUGAUUAGACGCCGAAGAAUGUGACUGGAAAGACAGAGAGAGAGAGAGAGAGAGAGAGAGAGAGGGGACGAAAGAGAGCGAGAGACUUAGAGACAGAGCGUUUCAGGGGCUGGCACUCCUACGGAGAAUGCCGGUAAUUGAGCCGAGCUGAGUGGAGCACGUCUUUUAUUUUCCAGCAGUGAGUUAGCAGUAGUUCCGGAGCAAUGACAGCCUGUGAAUCUGAUCUCUCUUGCUGUCUCUCUCCCUCUCCCGCUCCCUUUAUCCAUUUGCGGCUCCAGAAGAGGCUGGACUUGGGGGGGCAGUCGGAGGAGACCCGGCACAUGCACAGGCAACACCGUUCAGCCAUCAGGAAAUACUCCUUUCACCCAGACUGAGUCCAGAUUGUUCACAAGGUCCAGUUCACUUCACAAACAAUCACUUCAAAUUCUUAAUGGCCGAAGGCUGCGAAGGCGAGGAAGACUUUGAUGAAGACUGGAUGAUGAAGACAUUGCCGGGUGGUGAAGCUCCUGUGCCAU